AGAGGGUGAUGCCUGAGAAGGGACAGCAGCCCAGCCCCAUUCAGGGACACGUGGCCCUGAUUUGAGCUCCUGUGACAUCACGCUCCCUCCAGUUAUCUUACAUGUCACAUCUCAAACAUUUAACAUCUUACAUCUCAAACAUUUCUUGAGGCCCUUACCCUCCCGUUCCCCCAAAUCAAUACGGCACUUAGGGGACACCAAGGCACAGAGACACUUGCCCCAAAUCACGCAGUAAUGCCCUGGUGCCACCGUGAACAGUGCUGGAGCUUCCUGACCCCUUGUCCAGGGGACCUGGCUGCCUUUUAUAGAAAGUUUCCACACACCUUCUAUUCCUAACCUCGAUCACAAGCAUCGCCGGCCCAGAUGCUCUGUGUCACCGGCUUAGUAACAUACCCCAUUUAGGAGCAUGAGCACAACUUGUUUGCAGUGGGAAUGAAUUAACUGAAUUCUAGAUAUUGUUUUUUGGCUGCCUUUUUUUGUUUGUUUUUAUUUCAAACACAGCUAACUAAUCAGGGCUGUGGACAUCGAGAAUGCCAACUUUGAUUCUUCAAGGAAAAUCAGCAGCUGACCACACACUACCCUUCCUGGUCCUCCCCAAGAUGCCAAGAACAUCCAAAGUCUGCAGUUUUGAGGAAACUGAAGCUGAUCUGACACCACUUCCUUUUUCUCCAGAUGUUACCCUUCGGAUGCAUACCUCGAUCUGCCUGAAAAUCAUGGAAUUCUGGAGAUGGAAGGGACCUCAGAGAUUUUCUGGUUCUCUCUGUUCUGGUUGCAUGGCUCGGGGAAGAUAGAAAGGCCUCAGAGGAGUGAAAAUGGAAUCAAACAGAAGAGACAGGAGGCCGACAUGGAACUGAGCAAGUUCUGGCUACUUCUGUUGCUUUUUGAGUCAGGGGAAUGUGACGUAUGGACUCUUCCCCUAUAAACUCAUACCUCAAGAUUCUUCUGUACACACAGCAGACUCCCCACAAUCCCAAACAUUAAAGGCCACAACCCCAAACAUUGUGGGAUAAGAACAGGGCUGCUUCUUCAUCCGGAGAUUCCUGAGUCACACACUAAUGAAAUACCUACCUCAGGCACAUGUUCAUAAUAUUCAUCCUUAACACUCUGUAAGGCCAGUCCUAGACCCAGGUACUGCAUGUUAUGACAGCAUAAUUAUUUUGUGGUCUGUCUUCAAUGGCUCUGCAUUUCCUCCUAAAGUGGGAUAUUGCGGCAGUCAUAAAUCUUUCCAUCCUCCAGAGCAGUGGUCUGUCACAGCUUACUUAAACCGCUUAUCUUUUGGGAGCAUUCCAACUCUUCCUUUGCUUGAACUUAAGCCCUGCUAAACUCAUCUCCCUGCAUAUUUUUCAUUCGGGGCUCCAUCAAAAAACUAAUUAAAAUAAAAAAGUUUUCUAAAAGGCAGGGCGUGGUGGCUCACACCUGUAAUCCCAGUACUUUAGGAGGCCAAAGUGGGAGGAUCACUUAAACCCAGGAGUUUGAGACCAGCCUGGGUAACAUAGGGAGAUCCCAUCUCUAUAGAAAAUUUUUAAAAAUUAGCUGGGCAUAGUAGUGCGUGCCUGUAGUCCCAGUUACUCAGGAGGCCAAGGUGGUAGAAUUGCUUGAGUCAGGGAGUUCAAGGCUGCUAUGAGCCAUGAUCACGCCACUAUACUCCAGCCUGGGUAACAGAGCGAGUCCCCAUAACCAAAAAGAAAAAUAAAUAAAGUAAAAUAAUCAGUGUCUCAUGAGCAUAAUGAUCAAUACACACACACACAAUCACAUUUACCUACUUAAUCUCUGCUUUCAUGUCUGAUUUAUUAGUAUCUAUCAUCUGUGGAGUACUUUUUUCAGAAGUGGGCAAAAUCUCUUUCUAAACAUUAUCACAUCUCAAAUGCAAGACAAGUGGGACUGUGGUGAGGAAACUGAGGCUCAUCGUGUUGAAGUGACACAUGGUUGGGGGGUUGGGGGGCUGGGGGGGGGGUCUUUCUGCAGCCUUACUCCUGGUUCCCAGCCCAACAGCUGGUCCCCCAUCGGCUCACUGCUGAGGUUAAGCUGAUGCUUGCUGGAAGAAAGGUCUGCACAGCGAAGCCUUACAGUUUCACUUAUGUUCUUGGUUCUCUUACAAAGGAAUCUAAACCUUGACGGACAUUAGAAAUUUAAUAAUAGUUUAAGAACAAAUCCCAGCAUGUCUCCAAAGCAAUACAGAAUCAAAUUCUGAA